rnacentral:misc_RNA from 1 species
CAGGGUGUGAAGCUUGAUCAUGACAAUAAGGAACUCGUUUCAGCAUUUAGGGAAGCUGUUGAAGAUGGGAGAAGGUUUUAUGGUACAGAUCAAGAAAGAUCAUAACAUCUUCAUUGGCAAAUGAACACCAAAAACAUAGACAAAAAGUUGUGAACGACUGCUAUGCAUUAUCCCCUUUUUCCCCAUCCCCCUUUACCCUUCUUUAUACUUAGUGAGCAACUGUAAGUAUAUCUUUGUUUUGUGAGAAAGCUCCAUGGAAAAGAGAAAAAGAGAGAUUGUGUACAAAUGAGCUAACAAUAUUUAACAGAUAAUUAACAUGUUGGCUGUGUUCUCUCAAUUUUUGUA